rnacentral:rRNA from 1 species
UACGGGGGGGGCAAGCGUUGUUCGGAAUUACUGGGCGUAAAGGGCGUGUAGGCGGCCAACUAAGUCCGACGUGAAAUCCCCAGGCUUAACCUGGGAACUGCGUCGGAUACUGGAUGGCUUGAAUCCGGGAGAGGGAUGCGGAAUUCCAGGUGUAGCGGUGAAAUGCGUAGAUAUCUGGAGGAACACCGGUGGCGAAGGCGGGUCUCUGGGCCGAUACUGACGCUGAGGAGCGAAAGCGUGGGGAGCGAACAGG